GGGAUUGCCUCAGUAACCGCGAGUGAAGCGGCAACAGCUCAAAUUUGAAAUCUGGCUCCUUCGGGGUCCGAAUUGUAAUUUGUAGAGAGUGCUUCGGGCGAGACCUCGGUCUAAGUCCAUUGGAACAUGGUGUCAUAGAGGGUGAGAAUCCCGUAUGCGACCGUGGCUCGAGCCCAUGUGAAGCCUCUUCGACGAGUCGAGUUGUUUGGGAAUGCAGCUCAAAACGGGUGGUAAAUUUCAUCUAAAGCUAAAUACUGGCUGGAGACCGAUAGCGCACAAGUAGAGUGAUCGAAAGAUGAAAAGCACUUUGGAAAGAGAGUCAAACAGUACGUGAAAUUGUUGAAAGGGAAGCGCUUGCAACCAGACCUGCCCGUAGGCGAUCAGCCGCUGUUCUCAGCGGUGCACUCGCUCUGCGAUCAGGCCAGCAUCGGUUUCGGCGGUCGGAUAAAGGCCUUGGGAAUGUAGCUUCCCUUCGGGGGAGUCUUAUAGCCCUCGGUGUAAUGCGGCCAGCCGGGACCGAGGACCGCGCUUCGGCUAGGAUGCUGGCGUAAUGGUUGUAAGCGACCCGUCUUGAAACACGGACCAAGGAGUCUAACAUCUAUGCGAGUGUUUGGGUGUCAAACCCAUACGCGGAAUGAAAGUGAACGGAGGUGAGAACCCUUAAGGGCGCAUCAUCGACCGAUCCAGAUGUCUUCGGAUGGAUUUGAGUAUGAGCAUAGCUGUUGGGACCCGAAAGAUGGUGAACUAUGCCUGAAUAGGGUGAAGCCAGAGGAAACUCUGGUGGAGGCUCGCAGCGGUUCUGACGUGCAAAUCGAUCGUCAAAUUUGGGUAUAGGGGCGAAAGACUAAUCG
rnacentral:rRNA from 1 species